AGAUUGAACGCUGGCGGCAGGCCUAACACAUGCAAGUCGAGCGGUAGAGAGGUGCUUGCAUCUCUUGAGAGCGGCGGACGGGUGAGUAAUGCCUAGGAAUCUGCCUAGUGGUGGGGGAUAACGGUUCGGAAACGGACGCUAAUACCGCAUACGUCCUACGGGAGAAAGCGGGGGACCUUCGGGCCUCGCGCCAUUAGAUGAGCCUAGGUCGGAUUAGCUAGGUUGGUGAGGUAAUGGCUCACCAAGGCGACGAUCCGUAACUGGUCUGAGAGGAUGAUCAGUCACACGUGGAACUGGAAGACCGACGGUCCAAGGACCUUCCGAACGGGAGGCAGCAGGUAGGGAAUAGUUGGAACAAGUCGGGGACGAAAGCCUAGACUCCGAAGCCAGUCGGCCCGUCGGUUGGUGUA
rnacentral:rRNA from 1 species